rnacentral:rRNA from 1 species
GGAAUUGUUCGCAAUGGGCGCAAGCCUGACGACGCAACGCCGCGUGGAGGAUGAAGAUCUUCGGGUCGUAAACUCCUGUCGAGUGGGAAGAAUAGUGUCCGGGCGAAUAUCCCGGACACCUGACGGUACCACUAAAGGAAGCCCCGGCUAACUCCGUGCCAGCAGCCGCGGUAAUACGGAGGGGGCAAGCGUUGUCCGGACUUACUGGGCGUAAAGGGUGCGUAGGCGGUCUUGUGCGUCGGUGCUGAAAGCGCCCGGCUUAACCGGGCGAGGCGUGCCGAUACGAUAAGACUCGAGGGGCAGCGAGGGUGGCGGAACUCCUGGUGUAGUGGUGAAAUGCGUAGAGAUCAGGAAGAACACCCGUGGCGCAAGCGGCCACCUGGCUGCCAACUGACGCUGAGGCACGAGAGCGUGGGGAGCGAAC